CCUCCCUCUCCUAUUAUUACCACUUUAAAGAAUCCCUGAUAAAGAACAGCUUCUAUUAGAAUGCUUUCAGGGGGCCGGCCCUGUGGCUGAGUGGUUGGGUUCAUGAGCUCUGCUUCAGCAGCCCAGGGUUUUGCCAGUACCGAUCCUGGGCGCGGACAUGGCACCACUCAAGCCAUGCUGAGGCGGCGUCCCACAUGGACCCACAACUAAAAAUAUACAGUAUCGACUCACUUAAAUCUGAUCACCACCACAGAGAGAAAGUAGACGAUGCAGCUGGGAUUAGGAUCAGGCUGUCCGGUACCAGAGCAUUUCUGCUUGACUACUACUUUGCUUCAUGACACUCCAUCUGGCGGAAGGAAGUUGGCCUUUACCUGGAAACAAUAACCUAAAAGUCCAGUCCUUCCAAGGGGCCGGCCAGAGGAAGGGGAUGGGAUGAUGUCCAUCCAGACCUCAGGACUGGCUGCUUGAUGAAGUGGCAGGAAGCAGUCUCCACAGUCCCACCUCCUAAAGAAGUCCCCAGGCAUCACCUUACCUUGCAACACCAGAUGUCAGCACAACCAGGCACUCUUAAAAACAUGUGUGCCCUGAGACCCCUCAGCAAUUUUAAAUUUUAAAUAGAAACAGUUUUUACAAUUCAUUGUCUGCCUCCCUGUGUCAUUCCAAACACAGAGGAAAAGGAGCCAUAGAAGCAGAUGAGCAGGUCUCACCCUAAUACAAAAGGAUUUAGGGAAUCUAUAUAGAGGGAUCAGGGUAAAGAGGUAGCGGGAACACACAGAACUUUCCCACCCAAAAAGCCUGAUAGCCGGACACAGUUUUUGACAGUCUGUUACUGGUAAUUCAUCUCUUUGCUUAGAGAAGUCUUUUGCGACUCCUAGAAUUCGUUUUAAAAAUACAAGUAUCUCUGAGAAGCCUUAUUUCUCACAUCUAUAUGAAAUCAGGUUAGUGUGGAUCAGCUGACAACCAGUCUUUGUU
rnacentral:lncRNA from 1 species